rnacentral:lncRNA from 1 species
UUAGCAUCUAUAAGGGCAAACCAACAAAAUGAGACGUAUCAACAUUGCAACACCGACUGACAUUAUUUUCAGGCAAUCAUAUUAUCCCCAUUACGAAUAUUGUUAGUGUUUACUGCCAUGUAGAAGCUUUUUCAGAGCAAACUGAUUUAUUUCCCCCAAAAAAGAUAUUUUAAGGACGACUUGCAAAACCAUGUGCUAACAAAAUGUUCUUCCUAUGGAGGAAAACUUGGACAUUAACAAGUACUCCAAGGUGUCAAGCGUCAGAAUGGAUAACCAGACAAGAUAGAUAUAAUACAAGAAAUAAAAAAGCUAUCAUUAGUAUAAAGGAAAAAUAGUGAAUGUUUGGUAAUAACUAAAGACAGUUAGGGAGCAAUGAGAAGGGAUAUAAGAAUUACUUAAGCUGAAAAAGGAUUAUUUUCAAGCAGCAGAACACCACCUUAAGGAUUGAAGAGAUUGGAUCCCCCAACAUUGAGAGCAAUUAGUAGUGAUAUGCUAGUAAUCAC